rnacentral:rRNA from 1 species
GACGAACGCUGGCGGCGUGCUUAACACAUGCAAGUCGAACGGAAAGGCCCUGCUUGCAGGGUGCUCGAGUGGCGAACGGGUGAGUAACACGUGGGUGAUCUGCCCCUUACUUUGGGAUAAGCCUGGGAAACUGGGUCUAAUACUGGAUAGGACCAUGCUGUAGGUGGUGUGGUGGAAAGAUUAGUUUCGGUAAGGGAUGAGCUCGCGGCCUAUCAGCUUGUUGGUGGGGUAAUGGCCUACCAAGGCGUCGACGGGUAGCCGGCCAGAGAGGGUGGACGGCCACAUUGGGACUGAGAUACGGCCCAGAAUCCUACGGGAGGCAGCAGUGGGGAAUAUUGCACAAUGGGAGCAAGCCUGAUGCAGCGACGCCGCGUGGGGGAUGACGGCCUUCGGGUUGUAAACUCCUUUCGGCCAUGACGAAGCCCUUGUGGUGACGGUAGUGGUAGAAGAAGCACCGGCUAACUACGUG